UAGUGUUAGAGGGUUUCCGCCCUUUAGUGCUGCAGCAAACGCAUUAAGCACUCCGCCUGGGGAGUACGGUCGCAAGACUGAAACUCAAAGGAAUUGACGGGGGCCCGCACAAGCGGUGGAGCAUGUGUUUAAUUCGAAGCAACGCGAAGAACCUUACCAGGUCUUGACAUCCUCUGACAACCCUAGAGAUAGGGCUUCCCCUUCGGGGGCAGAGUGACAGGUGGUGCAUGGUUGUCGUCAGCUCGUGUCGUGAGUGUUGGGUUAAGUCCCGCAACGAGCGCAACCCUUGAUCUUAGUUGCCAGCAUUCAGUUGGGCACUCUAAGGUGACUGCCGGUGACAAACCGGAGGAAGGUGGGGAUGACGUCAAAUCAUCAUGCCCCUAUGACCUGGGCUACACACGUGCUACAAUGGGCAGAACAAAGGGCAGCGAAGCCGCGAGGCUAAGCCAAUCCCACAAAUCUGUUCUCAGUUCGGAUCGCAGUCUGCAACUCGACUGCGUGAAGCUGGAUCGCUAGUAAUCGCGGAUCAGCAUGCCGCGGUGAAUACGUUCCCGGGCCUUGUACACACCGCCCGUCACACCACGAGAGUUUGUAACACCCGAAGUCGGUGAGGUAACCUUUUGGAGCCAGCCGCCAAGGUGGGACAGAUGAUUGGGGUGAAGUCGA
rnacentral:rRNA from 1 species